CUUGAUCAGGCUGUAAAAGAUCUCACCACAUGGCCAAGACUAGAAAGCUUCACAAGAGAUAUAUGGGAGCGAUGGAGAACUUUGAGACAUUGUGGCCUGACAGGUGAGAAGGAGGUCAAUAAUGCAAAGUGAUCAAGGCAGAAGAAGGCUGUUUUGGCAAUAGGAUUAGCGCUGAUCCUAUUGCCAAAACAGCCUCUUCUUCCUUGUUUACUUUGAUUUAUUGGAUUGUUGUAUCUCAUUUUGGCUGAGUUCAAGGGUUGAAAGGGAAAUACCUAUCUUUGUUCUUCCCAAGUUUUGUUUUCGAUUUUGUAAAAAGAAAUACAGUCAAGUUUGUUGCCGGUUUGAUUUCGACUUACUUCCUCUUAAUUGAACAAGAGGCUUCUUGAGCAAAACAUAUGAAUAUUGAAUAGUGGA
rnacentral:lncRNA from 1 species